UGGGGAAUAUUGCACAAUGGGCGCAAGCCUGAUGCAGCCAUGCCGCGUGUAUGAAGAAGGCCUUCGGGUUGUAAAGUACUUUCAGCGGGGAGGAAGGGAGUAAAGUUAAUACCUUUGCUCAUUGACGUUACCCGCAGAAGAAGCACCGGCUAACUCCGUGCCAGCAGCCGCGGUAAUACGGAGGGUGCAAGCGUUAAUCGGAAUUACUGGGCGUAAAGCGCACGCAGGCGGUCUGUCAAGUCGGAUGUGAAAUCCCCGGGCUCAACCUGGGAACUGCAUUCGAAACUGGCAGGCUAGAGUCUUGUAGAGGGGGGUAGAAUUCCAAGUGUAGCGGGGAAAUGCGUAGAGAUCUGGGGGAAUACCGGUGGCGAAGGCGGCCCCCUGGACAAAGACUGACGCUCAGGUGCGAAAGAGUGGGGAGCAAACAGG
rnacentral:rRNA from 1 species